GGGUUACUGAAAAGAAUUUUAUUAAGUCACAACUUUCCAAAGUAAUUAAAAAGUCACCAGUAUUAAUAAAUGGAGGCGAACAAUCGCGCUUUUUUGCCUAACUCAUUCAAAUUCAAUCCUCUAUAAAUAGGUCCCUCCUUACUCGUUCAUUCUACUACACAUAUCUAUUUAUUUCUUGCUCUUGUCUUUUAUAUUACACCUUCAACAACUUUCUCUUCAAGAACUUGAUUGCUUUUCCCUAUCUAUGAUAUGGGCGAUCCAGUGUGGGAUGUCGAUAUUUUAUGAGAUGACGUACGGGAACUGCAGAGGCAGGUACAUGAUAUACAGUGAGAGUUGGCCGCUGUCAGAGUAAGGAUGUUGCCGGAGAUCCGCAGGAUAAGAAGGGCGUUGUUGCUGCCUAUCGAAGAUGCAGCUAGCGAUAAUAAUAAACUUAAUAAUAAUAAUAAUAAUAAUAAUAAUAAUAAUAAUAAUGAAGAAUCUAUUAAUAAUAAUUAGAUUAUUUUGUUUCUUCUUUCUUUCUAAGUCUGUAUAUGUAUUUUUAUUUGUUUUAGUUUAAUAAAAAAAUUACGCUUGAUCAACUUUAA